rnacentral:rRNA from 1 species
CAAUGGAGGACCGAACCCACAUCCGUUGAAAAGGGUGGGGAUGAGGUGUGGAUAGCGGAGAAAUUCCAAUCGAACCCGGAGAUAGCUGGUUCUCCCCGAAAUAGCUUUAGGGCUAGCGUUGGCUUAGAUUACCGGAGGUAAAGCACUGAAUGGGCUAGGGGCCGAGAGGUUACUGAACCCUAUCAAACUCAGAAUGCCAGAUAAUUGAUGUAUGGGAGUCAGACAGUGUGAGAUAAGUUUCAUUGUCAAAAGGGAAACAGCCCAGACCCACAGCUAAGGUCCCAAAGAUACGCUAAGUGGAAAACGAUGUGGAGUUGCGAAAACAACCAGGAUGUUGGCUUAGAAGCAGCCACUCAUUAAAAGAGUGCGUAAUAGCUCACUGGUCGAGUGACCCUGCGCCGAAAAUUUAACGGGGCUAAAUCAUACACCGAAGCUUGGGAUUGACAGAUAUUCUUCAUGUUUUCAGGCAGAAAAGGAAAGAGAGGAAAUCUGAUGGCGCCGAAGAAUGAGGCGGCAUUAAAUUUCUGUUCAAGUAAAAGCAUGAAGAUGUGAAGAAUAUCUGUCGAUGGUAGGAGAGCGUUCUAUGUGGGGAGAAGUCUGAGCGGAAGCGCAGGUGGACUGCAUAGAAGUGAGAAUGCCGGAAUGAGUAGCGCGAAAUAUGUGAGAAUCAUAUUGGCCGAAAGUCUAAGGUUUUUGGAGGAAGGUUCGUCCGCUCCAAGUUAGUCGGGAGCUAAGGUGAGGCCGAAAGGCGUAGCCGAUGCACAUACGGUAGAAAUUCCGUAGCCUCUGAAAGAUUUAAGCACAAGGACACUUGAGAAGCGUUUAUCCGGGAGUUGGUAUUCCCGGUCGUAAGGGACCCCGAAUGGGGGAAGUAAAUGUGGAUUGAGGCAAGAAAAGUUGUGUGAAUAUCUGAAGAGCCCGUACCGCAAACCGACACAGGUAGAUAGGAAGAGAAUUCUAAGGCCAACGGGAGAAGGGUUGUUAAGGAACUCGGCAAGUUGACCCCGUAACUUCGGAAGAAGGGGUGCUCUGGAAACAGAGCCGCAGAGAAUAGGUCCAGGCGACUGUUUAGCAAAAACACAGCUCUAUGCUAAAUCGAAAGAUGAUGUAUAUGGGGUGACACCUGCCCGGUGCUGGAAGGUUAAGAGGAGAUGUGCAAGCAUUGAAUCGAAGCCCCAGUGAACGGCGGCCGUAACUAUAACGGUCCUAAGGUAGCGAAAUUCCUUGUCAGGUAAGUUCUGACCCGCAUGAAAGGCGUAAUGAUUUGGGCACUGUCUCAACAGCCCGCCCGGCGAAAUUGUAGUACCGGUGAAGAUGCCGGUUACCCGCGACAAGACGGAAAGACCCCAUGGAGCUUUACUGUAGCUUGAUAUUGGGUUUCGGUAAUUUAUGUACAGGAUAGGCGGGAGACUAGGAAGCCAGUACGCCAGUAUUGGUGGAGUCGUCCUUGGGAUACCGC